rnacentral:rRNA from 1 species
GCAGUCUGCAACUCGAGUGCAUGAAGCUGGAAUCGCUAGUAAUCGCGAAUCAGAAUGUCGCGGUGAAUACGUUCCCGGGUCUUGUACACACCGCCCGUCACACCAUGGGAGCCGACAACGCCCGAAGUCAGUGACCUAACCGAGAGGGAGGANCCGCCGAAGGCGGGGUUGGUAACUGGGGUGAAGUCGUAACAAGGUACC